rnacentral:rRNA from 1 species
GAUGAACGCUGGCGGCGUGCCUAAUACAUGCAAGUCGAGCGGACGGACGAGAAGCUUGCUUCUCUGAUGUUAGCGGCGGACGGGUGAGUAACACGUGGAUAACCUACCUAUAAGACUGGGAUAACUUCGGGAAACCGGAGCUAAUACCGGAUAAUCUUUUGAACCGCAUGGUUCAAAAGUGAAAGACGGUCUUGCUGUCACUUAUAGAUGGAUCCGCGCUGCAUUAGCUAGUUGGUAAGGUAACGGCUUACCAAGGCAACUAUGCAUAGCCGACCUGAGAGGGUGAUCGGCCACACUGGAACUGAGACACGGUCCAGACUCCUACGGGAGGCAGCAGUAGGGAAUCGUCCGCAAUGGGCGAAAGCCUGACGGAGCAACGCCGCGUGAGUGAUGAAGGUCUUCGGAUCGUAAAACUCUGUUAUUAGGGAAGAACAUAUGUGUAAGUAACUGUGCACAUCUUGACGGUACCUAAUCAGAAAGCCACGGCUAACUACGUG